rnacentral:tRNA from 1 species
GGCUCCAUAGUAUAACGGUUAGCAUGUCUGCUUUACACACAGAAGGUCCUGGGUUUGUGCCCCAGAUGGAGCCA